UUCCCGUGCUGCAACUGAAUCACACCGGCCGAGGCGCUCUACGGCGGCGACGGCGUGCGCCGCCGCAAUCCGCCCCAAUCCUGCGGGGUCUGUCCGACUGCUCCGGCCACCCCCUCUUCAACCACCCGGCCCUCCUCCAGCCGGCAUACCCCGUGGGACCGGCCUCCUCCGCUGCCCUCCUUCAACGCCGGUGCGUUUCUCCGCGGCGCGCGCGGAUGGGCGGGCUGCAGUACGCGGAGGCGUUUCGAUCAGUACCCGCCUGCCGUUCAGCCGGAGUAGCCCCAGCCAUGGCCGACGGGCUCGGCGGCCCCCCUCCCCUCCCCUCCCUGCACCGCGGACAUCCAUGCAGGGACUUGAACUCAUGGACAUGGCAUCAUCCUUAUUACAAUAGACAUCCUUGGCCGGCAGAAGUAUGGUGACGCAAAGAACCUGGCCACCGCCUGCUCCCUGCAUCGGCAAGCAAGCGACAGAGCUUCCAACAGGCGGAAAUGCGUGCGUGUUUAUGACACAACUGAAGUUCAUAGACCACCUAGUGAUGACUACAAGCACUGAAGCGAGUCGAAAGCGUGCCGCCGUCAUCGCCCCUUCCUCACGGGAACAUGGCAAACUUGUUGUAGUAGACAGUCAGGAAGUCAUCAUGCUAAGGUUCCAUAGGACCCGCGCACCAGAACAGCAAUCGCCGCUGAUGAAGAGUAGCAUUGAUCUGAAGGAUUCAACCUGAAGACACACGAACAUAAACGAACAACGAACAUAUCCAAGCAAAUCCACCAAAGGCAGAUCGCCAGAGACACACCUCCACACGCCCACCGAUGAUACUGGUUGGGGGUUCUCUUUACUGGUUGCUCAGUGGGGGUUCGGGUGGGAUCCUUGAAUUUGAGAUGGAUAGGCAAAGACUAAUUGUGAUACCUAUGCCAGUAAAUGACCUCGGGUUUUUCCAAUUGUCGCUGAUACGGGCAGAUGGCCGUGGAAUUGGUCUCCUCAUUUUAUCAGGCUUCAGUGCCCAAUUUUCGAAGAGAAGGACCAAUUGUGAAGGUGUUGCUUCAUGGGUGUUGGGAAGAACCAUUGAAAUUGACCAGCUACUUCACUUGGAAGCAGAGGAGAUGGGGACUCAAAUGAUACUAGGGUUUGUUGAGGACAAUAAUGUGGUUCUCUUGUGGACAAUUAAUGGUCUUGUCAUGUUACAGCUUGAGUCACUACAGUUUGAGAAAGUCUUGGGAAUCAACAUCAUCGCUUACAAUCACUCAUUCGAAAGUGUCUAUACUGCAGAAACAGGCAUUGGUGGUGGACAUGAUGGAGCUGAUCUUUUGCACAGGACAUAAGAUUUUUUUACCGGUUAGAUAUGCUAUUGUGAUGGGUUGAGCAGGAGUCUGGAAUUACAUUCCUGUGGCAGAUGCAGAAAUGGCUUUUCUGCUGUAGGUUCAUCCAGUUUAUAUGCUAUGCAGGUCUUCUAUAGACAUUAGUCAGCUGGCAUGAAGACACCAUGACUUAUUUGGAUUAAUGAUUGGCAUUGGCCCUGUCUGUUAAUCUCCCCUUACAUUUAUGCUUGCAAACGCUGAGGCAAGCUGAAGUCUUAUGUCCUAUGUUGUGUCUGGUCGAGAUCGCAACUUGUAAUCUCUGCUUAAGCUUUGUCCUGUGAUGUUACUUCUUUUUUUGCGUGUGUGCAUCACUUCUUUUUUUGCGUGUGUGUGCAUACGCUUGGGUUCGUACUAUUAGAUAUAAAUUUGUGUGUCAAAAAGAUAGCGAUGCUGCAGUGAUGGUAUUA